GGGAAUGUGGCUCAGUGGUAGAGUCCUUGCCUAGCAUGCAUGAAGCCCUGGGUUCAGUACCCAGUACCA
rnacentral:tRNA from 1 species